CCUACGGGGGGCAGCAGUGAGGAAUAUUGGGCAAUGGAGGCAACUCUGACCCAGCCAUGCCGCGUGAGUGAAGAAGGUUUUCGGAUUGUAAAGCUCUUUCGGAUGUGACGAUGAUGACGGUAGCAUCUAAAGAAGCCCCGGCUAACUUCGUGCCAGCAGCCGCGGUAAGACGAAGGGGGCAAGCGUUGUUCGGAAUUACUGGGCGUAAAGGGAGUGUAGGCGGGUUAGGAAGAUAGUGGUGAAAUCCCAGGGCUUAACUUUGGAAUUGCCAUUAGAACUAGUAGACUAGAAUUCCAGGGAGGAUGGUGGAAUUCCCAGUGUAGAGGUGAAAUGCUUAGAUAUGAGGUAGAACACCAAUGGCGAAGGCGACUAUCUGGCUGUACAUUGACGCUGAUGCUCGAAAGCAUGGGGAUCAAACAGGAUUAGAUACCCCAGUAGUC
rnacentral:rRNA from 1 species